rnacentral:lncRNA from 1 species
AGGACGACUCCCCUUUCAUUCCUAAGCACCCACGCUCCCCCUGCUAAGCCUUUACUCUUGGAGAACUCCAUUCCAAUAUUGCACAUAAUCCAGUCAUGAAUUGGUGGAGUCCAUUUAGGAUGAACUAGCGUUCGAUUUAUCUUUUCCACUUGAGCCCAUUCUUCUUCCACCAACUGAGCCGUGAACCAUUCAUUAGCCUCUUUAACAGCAGUUUGCACCAAC